AGUUCAAACCGCUUGAACAUUCUCACGAUUUACUUGCUACUUACCGCAAUCAAUUGAAACUGCUAGAAUGUCAAUUACUAUCGAAUUCAAAUUAGAAGUUAAUAAAAUAAUUUCAAAGAAGAAUCACUAAUUGCUAGUAAGACUGGUUCUGAAAAGAUAUUGUUACAUACAACGAAAAUCCUAGAGCUUAGAGUUGGGAAACAUGCAAUAAACAGCAAUAAGUUAUUGGUAUUAUGAAAUAUUUUUUGUGCAUAUUCAAGAGGAAAUUUUAUAAAGAAUAAAUUGACUCCACUUGAGUCUUACCAUAGCAAUUGAUGAUUUCCUUCAAGUCUGAUGGUUCGGUGCUCGGUACAUCCGGUUGUAACUGCGUGGUAGUCCGGUUUGGGAGGCCUGAGAGGCCGUCGUGCAAGGUCAGCGACUGAUCUCCAGCAUCCAACUAAGUCAUGUCAACUAUGUUGUCAUAUUUAUUCAGUUUCCUAAAUUUACACACUUACUCCGAUUUUUACGGAAACGACGUUAUUCCACUAUAAUUAAAAUAUGUAGAUAUUUAAAAUUUUGUUAUUUGAAAGACGUUCAUAUUAGCAUAGAUUCUAAAUAAGAAAUGAACAAAUAGACCUCUAUAUAUGAAUAGUCAAAGAUGGCAUCCACUAGAAGAAAAUCCAACAUUCAACAUUCUAAUAAAACAAUUAAUGUAAGCGCUAAUGAAAAAUUGAAAUAAGUUAAGUCUUAUUUCAUGUAAAUACUAUUCAAUCUGGAAAAAUGUGUUUUUAAUAUUUUGUGAUCAUAUUUAACUAAUAAUUUCUUAUAAUGUCAGCAUUGUGAAUAUGUAAUAUAUAAAUAAUUUUAUAUUUGCUCCAAAAAAUGGAAAAUUUAAUAAAAUUUCAUACUAAAACGAAA